UCUUGUUGUACAUGUUCUUGCCUCAAGCUAUGGCUACUGGUACAACUUCUUUCCUUCCUCUAGUCUUACAGUCACUGACAUGCAUGUAUUUUACCUUCACGUUUUGUUUCAACUUGCUUGGCCUUGGCUUGUUUAAUAUGAUAUAUAACUGCCUCUAUGUUGCUAUAAUAAUCAGUAUUUCCAACAUUCUUGAAGAGAUUAUUUGUUAUAUAAUAUUUAGCAUAAUGUCGAGCGAAACUGAGGUUCCCGUUGUUGG
rnacentral:lncRNA from 1 species